GUGGUGCCCGGAUUGUGCCCGUCGGCUGGCUCCGUGCUGGUCCAUCGAACUGUCGACGGCCAAUCCCCYCGGUAGCCGUGUUCCCUAGCGUUGCCUUUGACGUGCCCCUCCGCGGCGCGCUUGUGUUGCCUACCCGUUCGGCGGGAGCGAUCCGCAUGAAGAACGGGCUCUCCAUCCGGCCCCCUCUCGGGGGGCGCCGGAGGACACCGAAGCGCCCCGCGUGCCCCAUCGAGCCUUCACCGGUCCCUUGGUCCACGCGGAUGCGCUAUGCUCUCGGACCCAGUGCAUGCCGUGGAGGAGGGGUGAUGCCCCUCCCUGUCCCUCCGCUCAGAAACGAUCUCCCGCACGACGGCCGUGCCCCCGCCCCGUCGGCGCCUCGGCGUGCCGCGGGCGGUGCUCGACGUCCCGGAGGAUUGCUACCUGGUUGAUCCUGCCAGUAGUCAUAUGCUUGUCU
rnacentral:misc_RNA from 1 species